UUAAGUCAGCGGGUAUCCCUACCUGAUCUGAGGUCAACCAUAGAAAGUUGGGGGUUGCUGGCAAGCAUCCACCGGGACUCUAUAGCGAGAGAAAUUACUACGCUUAGAGCCAGAUGGCGCCGCCACUGAUUUUAAGGGCUGCCAGUCGGCAGGCCCCAACACCAAGCUGAGCUUGAGGGGUUAUAAUGACGCUCGAACAG
rnacentral:misc_RNA from 1 species